CCUACGGGGUGCAGCAGUGAGGAAUAUUGGUCAAUGGGCGGGAGCCUGAACCAGCCAAGUCGCGUGAAGGAAGAAGGUACUUAGUAUUGUAAACUUCUUUUGUCGGGGAACAAAGGCGGAGACGCGUCUCCGGAUGAGUGUACACGAAGAAAAAGCAUCGGCUAACUCCGUGCCAGAAGCCGCGGUAAUACGGAGGAUGCGAGCGUUAUCCGGAUUUAUGGGGGUUAAAGGGUGCGCAGGCGGGAGAUCAGGUCAGCGGUAAAAUGUCGGGGAUCAACUCCGGACGGCCGUUGAAACUGGUUUGCUAGAUUUGGAGAGAGGUAUGCGGAAUUCGUGGUGUAGCGGUGAAAUGCAUAGAUAUCACGAAGAACUCCGAUUGCGAAGGCAGCAUACCGGCUCCAUACUGACGCUGAGGCACGAAAGCGUGGGGAUCGAACAGGAUUAGAUACCCGAGUAGUC
rnacentral:rRNA from 1 species